UGGGGAAUAUUGGACAAUGGGGGAAACCCUGAUCCAGCCAUGCCGCGUGAAUGAUGAAGGCCUUAGGGUUGUAAAGUUCUUUCAACGGUGAAGAUGAUGACGGUAGCCGUAGAAGAAGCCCCGGCUAACUCCGUGCCAGCAGCCGCGGUAAUACGGAGGGGGCGAGCGUUGUUCGGAAUUACUGGGCGUAAAGGGCGUGUAGGCGGAUUGUUAAGUUAGAGGUGAAAGCCCAGGGCUCAACCCUGGAACUGCCUUUAAUACUGGCAAUCUUGAGAUUUGGAGAGGUAUGUGGAAUUCCUAGUGUAGAGGUGAAAUUCGUAGAUAUUAGGAAGAACACCAGUGGCGAAGGCGGCAUACUGGCCAACAUCUGACGCUGAGGCGCGAAAGCGUGGGGAGCAAACAGGAUUAGAUACCCCCGUAGUCC
rnacentral:rRNA from 1 species